rnacentral:rRNA from 1 species
CCUACGGCGGCAGCAGUAGGGAAUCUUCCACAAUGGGCGAAAGCCUGAUGGAGCAACGCCGCGGGGGUGAAGAAGGUCUUCGGAUCGUAAAACCUUGUUGUUAGAGAAGAAAGUGCGUGAGAGUAACUGUUCACGUUUCGACGGUAUCUAACAAGAAAGCCACGGCUAACUACGUGCCAGCAGCCGCGGUAAUACGUAGGUGGCAAGCGUUAUCCGGAUUUAUUGGGCGUAAAGGGAACGCAGGCGGUCUUUUAAGUCUGAUGUGAAAGCCUUCGGCUUAACCGGAGUAGUGCAUUGGAAACUGGGAGGCUUGAGAGCAGAAGAGGAGAGUGGAACUCCAUGUGUAGCGGUGAAAUGCGUAGAUAUAUGGAAGAACACCAGUGGCGAAAGCGGCUCUCUGGUCUGUAACUGACGCUGAGGUUCGAAAGCGUGGGUAGCAAACAGGAUUAGAUACCCCGGUAGUC